rnacentral:rRNA from 1 species
AUUGAACGCUGGCGGCAGGCCUAACACAUGCAAGUCGAGCGGUAACACAGAGGAGCUUGCUCCUUGGGUGACGAGCGGCGGACGGGUGAGUAAUGCCUAGGGAUCUGCCCAGUCGAGGGGGAUAACAGUUGGAAACGACUGCUAAUACCGCAUACGCCCUACGGGGGAAAGAGGGGGACCUUCGGGCCUCUCGCGAUUGGAUGAACCCAGGUGGGAUUAGCUAGUUGGUGAGGUAAUGGCUCACCAAGGCGACGAUCCCUAGCUGGUCUGAGAGGAUGAUCAGCCACACUGGAACUGAGACACGGUCCAG